AUGGCGUCUCUCCUGCUCGCCGGUGGUGCAGCAGGUGCACGCCGCUCGGAAUUCAUGGUGGCCGGACUCCGGGCAUUUGCAGGGGCAUUUUCUCAAUCAAGUUCCCGGAUGGAUGAUGUGAACCAAUCUCCAAGAGUAGGAAUAAACACAAAUGUGGAGCAUCCUACUGUCACAAGCAUCAAGCUGGAUGAUGUGAACCAGUCUCCAAGAGGAGGAAUAAACACAAAUGUGGAGCAACCUACUGUCACAAGCAUCAAGCUGGAUGAUGUGAACCAGUCUCCAAGAGGAGGAAUAAACACAAAUGUGGAGCAACCUACUGUCACAAGCAUCAAGCUGGAUGAUGUGAACCAGUCUCCAAGAGGAGGAAUAAACACAAAUGUGGAGCAACCUACUGUCACAAGCAUCAAGCUGGAUGAUGUGAACCAGUCUCCAAGAGGAGGAAUAAACACAAAUGUGGAGCAACCUACUGUCACAAGCAUCAAGGAAAGCAUGGGGAACUCACAGAGAGCUUCCACUCCACACCCAUCAGAUCUGCUUAAAUUUACAAAGCUUAAAACUGAUACGGAAACAAAUCCUUUCUCAAUCGGGUUUGGCAAUGCUGCUUCGGGCGACGUGCAAAAGUUUCUGGAUAUAUUGCAUGCUGACGAGGAGUUCUACAAGGAGAGUAUCGAGGAGAAUGUACUCAAGGAGAUGUAUUUCAGUGUGGUGAGGCCUGCACUUAUUCCCAGAUGUCUGAUUUUCCCCUAUGAAAUUGGGAAUAAACAUGCUCCGGGUCUGCAUGAGGCCUACAAAACGAUCACCAAACGAGAGGAGCCACUCUACAUUAGCUCUCGGGAUCUCAUGAUCACCUUGAGCUCUAUGGCAAACGAGCACUGGGUUCAUUUACUGAACUUCUUCAGUGACCAGCGUGUUCUUGUCAUUGAAGAUUGGUGUAACUCGUACGGAACAUUGUUCGGAGCUGGGCGCUACGAUCAUGGCUUCAACUGCGCCCCCACCGGUGAAAUGUGCUUUAAGGGCGAGUGUGAUGCAUCAGUGAAGGGUGGAAUGGCAAGAAUCUGUUGUAUCAUUUGGAGAGGAAACCAAAUUGUUGCUUGCCAAGUCCUUACUGAUAUUCCUUGUCAGGUUAAAAAAGAUGACCGGAAGGGCAAAUCUGCCUCAGCCAGGGCUGAAGCACUCGCUAUGUUCUAUUUAUUGAAAUUGGCUAUUUCAUUGGGAAUUGACAAGUUGCAAGUCAGCACUGACAAUCGCACGGUAGAUGAGGUGCUGCGAGGAACCCAUGAAAUCUCUGAGGAAAAUGACUGCAAGAGGAUUUAUGAAGUAUUGAGGGCGGCAUCUCUUGAAAGGAUUGAGGAAAUGUGCUAUCUGGAAGUUGAUGAAGGCAGCAAAUUGGACACCAUCUGUCACAUGACUGUGGCACUUCACCCAAAGGAGUUUUUCAUCGCUGUUCAUGAGCUUGGUUCCACGUAUGAUCUCGUUGAUCGUCUGAAAGAGAUAUAUGAGGACUGUGAUGUUGCGGUGACACCAUUUGAUGAGUACUCAGUGAUCUCUUUUUCACUGGCUCAUAGGCCAGAUGGUAUGCAGUCACAAAACCCUUUGACAAUAAUCUUUGAUCGUACUGUUCCAGCAGAGGCCAUCAAUCAAGGUGCUCUUAAUGUGCUGCUCUAUAAACCUGAUGGGCGUCAAAAUCAGAACAUCCCAGAAUAUAGCCCCAUCAGCUUUGCGUCACUUCACAAAGGGUGUGCAGUUAUUCCUGGGUUAAAUAAAGCUGCUCAUAGCGGCACAUUGCUCAAUACAAAGAGGCUUGAUGAUGAUACAGAGAAUCUUGCUCAUGAGCGUGCGCCGUCAUACUUGAAGGACAGCAUUAUGCAGGCUCGAAUGGACAAGAAUCUCACAGAGGCGCAGCUUGCAGCGUUGAUCGAGGUUCCCCCGCACGUCAUCAAGGAGUAUGAGUCAGGCAAGGCUACGCCAGACCAACAGAUCAUCAGCAAGCUGGAAACGGCUCUGCUUCUCCUUACCAUGUAUGCGCGCUUACCACAUGAGCAGCAGCCACAUUGGUCUACUUUUGCCGUGGAUGGUGUCUGGCUAUCUACUUGUUGUGACUUAACUGAAGUUAAUUUUCUGAACUUCUCGUGA
rnacentral:rRNA from 1 species